rnacentral:lncRNA from 1 species
CGCAGCUCAAUCUUAUCACAUUCACCAUAUAUUAAGCCAAAUAUAUGUCAUAAUUCUACACAAUAUAAAAGAAACUGAAUAUUGAACUGAAAAAUUAGGUUAAUGGAAAGGGAUAAACAAGGAGAGAAGAUAUGCUAAAACAAAUUAUGGUGGCUGAUAUGAAGAAAGAAGGCCUAUGUAGAAAUACUGAACUAUUAUCUGCAUUGUGCCAAUAAACUGUGUUUCCACCACAAGAACACCCUUUAGUUCUACGUGCCUUUUCUUUCCAGCCAAUAUUAUCGUUUGUUGCCAAAAGUUUUCUUCCAUCUGCAUAUGUUUCCCAUUUGACAGUCCCAUUUCUGCCUGCACGCAAAUUAACUUGGAGAUUCAGA